rnacentral:rRNA from 1 species
AGCGUACACGGUGGAUGCCCUGGCAGUCAGAGGCGAUGAAGGACGUGCUAAUCUGCGAUAAGCGUCGGUAAGGUGAUAUGAACCGUUAUAACCGGCGAUUUCCGAAUGGGGAAACCCAGUGUGUUUCGACACACUAUCAUUAACUGAAUCCAUAGGUUAAUGAGGCGAACCGGGGGAACUGAAACAUCUAAGUACCCCGAGGAAAAGAAAUCAACCGAGAUUCCCCCAGUAGCGGCGAGCGAACGGGGAGGAGCCCAGAGCCUGAAUCAGUGUGUGUGUUAGUGGAAGCGUCUGGAAAGGCGCGCGAUACAGGGUGACAGCCCCGUACACAAAAAUGCACAUGCUGUGAGCUCGAUGAGUAGGGCGGGACACGUGGUAUCCUGUCUGAAUAUGGGGGGACCAUCCUCCAAGGCUAAAUACUCCUGACUGACCGAUAGUGAACCAGUACCGUGAGGGAAAGGCGAAAAGAACCCCGGCGAGGGGAGUGAAAAAGAACCUGAAACCGUGUACGUACAAGCAGUGGGAGCACGCUUCGGCGUGUGACUGCGUACCUUUUGUAUAAUGGGUCAGCGACUUAUAUUCUGUAGCAAGGUUAACCGAAUAGGGGAGCCGAAGGGAAACCGAGUCUUAACUGGGCGUUAAGUUGCAGGGUAUAGACCCGAAACCCGGUGAUCUAGCCAUGGGCAGGUUGAAGGUUGGGUAACACUAACUGGAGGACCGAACCGACUAAUGUUGAAAAAUUAGCGGAUGACUUGUGGCUGGGGGUGAAAGGCCAAUCAAACCGGGAGAUAGCUGGUUCUCCCCGAAAGCUAUUUAGGUAGCGCCUCGUGAAUUCAUCUCCGGGGGUAGAGCACUGUUUCGGCAAGGGGGUCAUCCCGACUUACCAACCCGAUGCAAACUGCGAAUACCGGAGAAUGUUAUCACGGGAGACACACGGCGGGUGCUAACGUCCGUCGUGAAGAGGGAAACAACCCAGACCGCCAGCUAAGGUCCCAAAGUCAUGGUUAAGUGGGAAACGAUGUGGGAAGGCCCAGACAGCCAGGAUGUUGGCUUAGAAGCAGCCAUCAUUUAAAGAAAGCGUAAUAGCUCACUGGUCGAGUCGGCCUGCGCGGAAGAUGUAACGGGGCUAAACCAUGCACCGAAGCUGCGGCAGCGACACUAUGUGUUGUUGGGUAGGGGAGCGUUCUGUAAGCCUGCGAAGGUGGCCUGUGAGGGUUGCUGGAGGUAUCAGAAGUGCGAAUGCUGACAUAAGUAACGAUAAAGCGGGUGAAAAGCCCGCUCGCCGGAAGACCAAGGGUUCCUGUCCAACGUUAAUCGGGGCAGGGUGAGUCGACCCCUAAGGCGAGGCCGAAAGGCGUAGUCGAUGGGAAACAGGUUAAUAUUCCUGUACUUGGUGUUACUGCGAAGGGGGGACGGAGAAGGCUAUGUUGGCCGGGCGACGGUUGUCCCGGUUUAAGCGUGUAGGCUGGUUUUCCAGGCAAAUCCGGAAAAUCAAGGCUGAGGCGUGAUGACGAGGCACUACGGUGCUGAAGCAACAAAUGCCCUGCUUCCAGGAAAAGCCUCUAAGCAUCAGGUAACAUCAAAUCGUACCCCAAACCGACACAGGUGGUCAGGUAGAGAAUACCAAGGCGCUUGAGAGAACUCGGGUGAAGGAACUAGGCAAAAUGGUGCCGUAACUUCGGGAGAAGGCACGCUGAUAUGUAGGUGAAGUCCCUUGCGGAUGGAGCUGAAAUCAGUCGAAGAUACCAGCUGGCUGCAACUGUUUAUUAAAAACACAGCACUGUGCAAACACGAAAGUGGACGUAUACGGUGUGACGCCUGCCCGGUGCCGGAAGGUUAAUUGAUGGGGUUAGCGGUAACGCGAAGCUCUUGAUCGAAGCCCCGGUAAACGGCGGCCGUAACUAUAACGGUCCUAAGGUAGCGAAAUUCCUUGUCGGGUAAGUUCCGACCCGCACGAAAGGCGUAAUGAUUUGAGCGCUGUCUCGACAAUGCAUCCGGUGAAAUUGAAGUACCAGUGAAGAUGCUGGUUACCUGCGCCAGGACGGAAAGACCCCAUGGAGCUUUACUCCAGCUUGAUACUGGGAUUCGGUAUUGCAUGUACAGGAUAGGUGGGAGGCUAGGAGAUGGUAACGCCAGUUGCCAUGGAGCCGCUGUUGGGAUACCACCCUUGCAGUAUUGGGUUUCUAACCAGCCGCCGUGACCCGGCGGUGGGACAAUGCCAGACGGGGAGUUUGACUGGGGCGGUCGCCUCCGAAAGGGUAUCGGAGGCGCUCAAAGGUUCCCUCAGAAUGGACGGAAACCAUUCGAAGAGUGCAAAGGCAGAAGGGAGCUUGACUGCGACACCGACGGGUGGAGCAGGUACGAAAGUAGGGCUUAGUGAUCCGGUGGUAUUAAGUGGGAAUGCCAUCGCUCAACGGAUAAAAGCUACCCUGGGGAUAACAGGCUUAUCACUCCCAAGAGUUCACAUCGACGGAGUGGUUUGGCACCUCGAUGUCGGCUCAUCGCAUCCUGGGGCUGUAGUAGGUCCCAAGGGUUGGGCUGUUCGCCCAUUAAAGCGGUACGCGAGCUGGGUUCAGAACGUCGUGAGACAGUUCGGUCCCUAUCCGGCGUGGGCGUAGGAUAUCUGAGAGGAGCUGUCCUUAGUACGAGAGGACCGGGAUGGACGGACCGCUGGUGUACCGGUUAGACUGCCAAGUCUACGGCCGGGUAGCCAAGUCCGGAAGGGAUAAACGCUGAAGGCAUCUAAGCGUGAAGCCCCCCUCAAGAUGAGAUAUCCCAUUCGUUAAGAAGUAAACCCCCUUGA